UGAGGAGUUUCCUACCGUGUCUGCCUUAUAUCUCAAAGCUCAGUUUUCCUCGACAGUCAGAUCCUGAUAAAGAAAUCAGGUUCUUGGUGAAUCUGUUCUGUGCAGCAGCAGAGAGAGAACAGCAGACAGGAGAGAAGAUACUGGAGCUGUUAUCAUCACUGUGCAGUUAUGAAACAUUCUCUUUUA